CCCACGAAAAGUCCGACAGACAAGGAACGGUUCAAGAAAAGACAUAAUUUGACGCGCGCUGAGGUGCUUUAGAAGAUCGUACUUGUGAAAUAAACUUAUUUGUGAUUCCAUGCAUAUUUGUGAGGAAUGCUGUUAUGGUAUAACCCUAAUUUUAACCAGUAAGAGACUAAGAGUUCGUAAGAUGACUCGGAGGGUCAUCGAGUUUGAUGUUCAUUGCCUCAAAUUGCGUUCAAAUUGUCACAUCGGACCAUUAUUCUUUUGCAAGAGAGCAAUUAAAUGUGAGUGAAACUCUGGUUAGGUGUUGGCAUCGGUGUUCCCAAAAGCUGAGAAAAUCCAAAGGGAUGCAGAACUUCAGUGUCGAUACUCAAUACACAGAUUGUAACAGCUAUUAUCUACAAUUCAUUGUGGGAGACCCUCAAUGUGUCGUCAACAUUAAAUCUACAAUUAAUAC